CCUACGGGAGGCUGCAGUGGGGAAUAUUGGACAAUGGGGGGAACCCUGAUCCAGCCAUGCCGCGUGUGUGAAGAAGGCCCUCGGGUUGUAAAGCACUUUCAGUGAGGAAGAACGCCUGGUGGUUAAUACCCAUCAGGAAAGACAUCACUCACAGAAGAAGCACCGGCUAACUCCGUGCCAGCAGCCGCGGUAAUACGGAGGGUGCGAGCGUUAAUCGGAAUUACUGGGCGUAAAGCGCGCGUAGGUGGCUUGAUAAGCCGGUUGUGAAAGCCCCAGGCUCAACCUGGGAACGGCAUCCGGAACUGUCAAGCUAGAGUGCAGGAGAGGAAGGUAGAAUUCCCGGUGUAGCGGUGAAAUGCGUAGAGAUCGGGAGGAAUACCAGUGGCGAAGGCGGCCUUCUGGACUGACACUGACACUGAGGUGCGAAAGCGUGGGUAGCAAACAGGAUUAGAUACCCGGGUAGUC
rnacentral:rRNA from 1 species